AAAAAAAGGAAAGCGUCUCGUCUCUCCAGCGGCGGAGGCCCCCAAGCAGCCCGCAGCAGCGAAAAGAGCCGAGUGGAGCCGAAGAUGACACAGGCCGGCUCGGAUUGGUCGGCUCGCUGGCCGGAAAGGAGGCCACGCGCUCAUUGGCUGACACGACCUAGAAAGUCUGAAGUCCCGCCCCGCCCCGCCUUCGCAGGAGCAGCGCGCGAGAGGGGAGCGGUUGUAGAUCCCUGGUGGCUUCUCUCUGAAGCCGUGGGAGGCAGGGAAAGCGAGGUCUGCGAAGAACUGGGCGAGCUCUAGAAAUGCUGCUGAGAAUCAAGGGACAGAGCGUUCAGGGCAUCUUUACUCAGCCAGGGUGGCAGGGCCUUCUUGAACAAUGCCAGCAAAUCAAGACCUGGCUGAUGGUCUCUUCUUCCUGCCCCCAAGUACUCUACCACGAAUUCGGGAUGCUUAGAAAAAUGGUUUGUGGUCCCCAUUUGGGAGCUCAGGUCACCAUCCCCUGAGCGAAAAUUGUGUCAUAGAUAUUAUUGCCUUUUUUUUUUUUCAAAUGAAGCUCUAGGACUUUGGACUCUAAACGUGACUCAAAUCGUUAAGUUGUAAAGCUCAAACUGGAAUCCAGUUCCCAGGCCACUCUGGCCACUUCGAAAGGGCAAAGGAUUAUAUUGUUCAUUAAGUACUGCUUCGUGAGUAACACAGCAUCAUUGCGUAAUAUGAUACAGCCAGGCGCAGCCCCAUAGGCCUGGAAUCCCAGCUACUGGGGAGGCUGAGACAGGCAGAUGGCACGUUGGCGCUAAGGGAGCUGGAACUGGCUUGAGAUUUAGUAAAAGAAAAUAACCUAGCAUUCAGGAGUUCUUAAGUUUGGUCCAUAAUACAGGGGACUGGUGUGUUGGGGGUAAUUAUCUCCUCGAACAACAUAUCCCAUCGCCUAAAAAAACUGAUCUUCCAAGGACCCAGUACUAGAAAAGAGAUGGAGUAAAACCUAUCUCAAUAAAUGGAAGAGAGAUGUCUAGAAAAUGCAUUGUCCUUCACUCCCAAUCAUCCCAUAUAUGUUAUCUACUCAAAUAAGCGUUGUAUUUGAGGUUUAGCAAAUCCUCUAUCACUGAGACAUCUGAAGCUCUCUUAUUAUUUGAGACAGUCUCAGUAAAUUGUUCAGGCUUGCGUUGAACUCACUCUGUAGCCAAGGCAGACUUUGAAUUUGUAAUCCUCCUGCCUCAACAUCCUAUGUAGCUGGAAUCACAGGCCGGAGUGAUUCACCAGGCCAGGCCAAGUUUCGAUAAAUAAUGCCAACCCUUUUAAGCCACAAAUGUAAAUAUGUGGAUUAUAUAUAUUUUAAUUAGAUGUGGGUGAGAAUGUUUAGAUUUCUAACACUUAAGUAAAUAUUUUUCAUUGACAUUUGACUGGAAACUCAUGAAUUGAAACUAGCAAGAAAUCUAGGUAGGAAUUAAAUUUUCAGCCUCUUCCAAUAACUUGUAAGAAGAAAGCAAAGUCAGUAUAAACAUGGUUUAUAUUAGCAGGGGAAAAGCCAAACCAAAGACAUCGCAACAACGCUCUUCAGAACAUAAUGUCUCAACAAAGCAGACAGUGUUUGCUUUCCAGUCUGCUAUAUUGCAAACCAGCGCAGUUGGCUUGUGUCGCUCAAGCUGACACUGCCAUUCUCCAGGCACAUAUACUCGGUUGAGAUUCUUUGUUACUCCUGCACUGUCCAGUUAUGUGCUCAGGUAGUUACAGUUUUUUAUAACACACUGAAAACUUUCAUUUGUUAAAUUCCUCUUUUGUGAAGAGCUUUAUUUCCUACCAAUUUUUUGCUGUGUGUGUGUGUGUGUGUGUGUGUGAGAGAGAGAGAGAGAGAGAGAGAGAGAGAGAAAGAGAGAGAGAGGAAGACUGUGGAAAGCAAAGUUGGCCAUUUUCCCUCCUCUCCAAGAAAUGAGGUUCCAAGCAGGAAAGAAAGGGAUCCUGGUUAGUUAUUAGCAGGAAAUUAUGAGAUUAAGAUGCUUAUUAAACCUGCCAAAGCAAAACCAGGUGACACAUUCGGUUUUUUUCUUCCACAUCUUUACCUGUAAUCGGAAGGCUGCUACAGUGAUCUGGUGGUUGACCAGGAUAAAGCCUAAGGCAUUCCCAAAUAAAACUCAUCUGCACCUUUUUUCAGUAUCAUCCUUAAAGUCAAAUACCUGCGGCUGAAAUGUAAUUAAGAAAAAUCAAAUAGUCAAACAAAAAGAAAACUGAAACAAAAUGAGACACUGUAACAACAAAGCCUGGAAGUAGAAAGACACAUUUUCGUAACUUUAUCUGCAGAGAAUCCUGCAAUCAAGGCGGGCAAAGGGAAGAGUUCUGUGAGAAUGUCAGUCACAUACAACAGUUACCUCAGGCUAUGGGAAAGUUCAGGGAGAAUGUCCCUCUGAUAGCGCACUGUGAGUGUUGAUUAGGGAGGCCCCAGAGACCCCCAAAACAGCAAACCUGUUUCCCUUGCUGUGGAUCGCCCACCAGGACUAAGAGAGCCAGGAGGUGCUAUGCAGGCCGCUUGAAGAGAUAACCCUCACUAGUCAUACCCAGUGGGGGUCCCUGCACAUGAGAAGCGGGACCUUCCUGACAAGACGUGCCCACAAAUGCAAUAGUGGCAUAACUGUAAAGGGGGAGCCCACGACAGCUCACAAGCCAAAUCUGAACAAGACAAGGUGGCUGUUCAGUCCCCAUGAGGAAGAAUCAGGCAGUGCUGCACCUGCUGUCUCUGAGCUGAACUCUGCGGACUUUGAGCUCUGCCACUCACCCGUCUGCCUGACACCCGCUGUGUGGGGAACACUGGACUUCUUCAGUUUCCCUUCCUAAAGGAAAUUGUAGCCUUUCCUAAACUCCCAACCAGCCCACAAGCAGGUAUGAGUUUGCAGGGAAAUUUUCUUCCCUAGCUCCAGUUUCGACCUGAACAUACAUCACUGGAUAAGGCUGCUUCACACUUCGAAACGAAUCAUCACACGCCGUUGUUAAACCAAUUCUGCUUGGUAGGAUUACAGUGGUGCCAAAGGCAGGGUGAACUUCGUGUGCCCUUUGAACAGUAAACAAGGAAGUCAGCCUCUUUGUCUAAUUCUGUUUCUUUAAUCUCUGUCGUACUUGGAUAUUCCCGGCGUUCACAUCAUCCCUAUGCACCAACUUACACUGCUAAACUCCCAGCAUUUCUUUAUUCUCUUUAUUACUUAUUUCAUUAUCCUCUCAUCUACUUCUCUUGGGGCGUUGUUUUCUUAUUUGACUGAACAAAUACAAGUCCAACAAAAGCUAGAAUUGGUGCAAGAAGAUACUUAGAACUCUUACUUCCGUUGGCUUUCUUUCUGCAACUCUGGACUUUUACCUGUUUUGAGAUUCGUUCUAUAUUCCUUCUUGGCACAAACUACUUGGGUAGUUUUGACCUUAGUUGAUCUGCAAAGUGGGCCAGUAAUACCUGCAGCAUCCUGGCACCAGAAAGAUUAAAUGUAGUGAGAAAUCUGUAAUAUACUUACCAUAUUGCCCAGCAUACGGUAAACACUAAAUAGACAGCUGUUAUUAGAUGCCACAAAGCCUCCCCACCCCCAGGAAUCUCUAUUUUCCAACCCAACAUGAACAGUAAUUGGAGGUUGGAAAUAGCAAGUUUUAAGGUAUUACUUACUGUAAAAUUCUAAGACUUAGAACUGGAUAUGUGGUCUUAAACUCUAGGAGGCCAUGGUAAAACAUCAUUUGAACUUGCUCCAGGCCCUAUUAGUCUUGAUUUUCAUGCAUGUAUGUGAACAUUUAUGGGAUAUUGUCUGACCCCCACCACCUGUAUAUCAUUUCCUAAAUGAUAUACAUUUAUUUACAUUUCUGAUUUCCUCUGGAUGAUUGUUUCCCCCCAUUUCUCUUUGCUCAGCAGCGAGGGCCCUGCCUCCCAUAGGCACGCCAUAAGGUUGGGGAGGGACAAAGGGAGAGGAGCGAGCGUUGGCUUCCCUUUGCCUGCUCUGACACCGCCCUGUGAACUUUUGAAUUCAGCCUUGCUUCUCUGUAAUUGCCACCCGUCCCUCUGGACUCUGGCUUGUGUUCUGAUAAUUGACAAAACUGCUCACACCCUGCCAAGGCUUUGUGCUCCAAUGCAGCUGCAUCCUGUCACCAGGCAAUCUACCUCAGCGUCUUCCUGAAACCCUACCAGUUACAGGCCUAACCCUUUGGACUGAGACUUAAGAUUAUGGUCUAGCUGAUCAAGAAAUAUUAACUGGGACCAAAGAGAUGACUCAGCAGUUAAGGGCAUAUGCUGCUCUUGCACAAGACCUGAGUUUGGAGCCCAGCACCCACACCAGGAAUUUCACAGACACCAAUGACUCUAGCUUCAGGGGACCCAACACCCUCUUCUGAACUCCUCAAGCACCUGCAUUCAUACCACACACAGACAAACACACAGAGAGACACACACGUUA